rnacentral:rRNA from 1 species
AGGGUUUGAUUCUGGCUCAGGAUGAACGCUGGCGGCGUGCCUAAUACAUGCAAGUAGAACGCUGAAGCUUGGUGCUUGCACCGAGCGGAUGAGUUGCGAACGGGUGAGUAACGCGUAGGUAACCUGCCUCUUAGCGGGGGAUAACUAUUGGAAACGAUAGCUAAUACCGCAUAAAAGUCGAUAUCGCAUGAUAUUGAUUUGAAAGGUGCAAUUGCAUCACUAAGAGAUGGACCUGCGUUGUAUUAGCUAGUUGGUGAGGUAACGGCCCACCAAGUCGACGAUCAGUAGCCGGACUGAGAGGUUGAACGGCCACAUUGGGACUGAGAUACGGCCCAG